CACUCACCGCAAACGGACGUUGUAUAUCCGUAAUCAUAGUACAAUCCAAUUGCGGAAGUACUGUGAACGUUGACUACCGACAAUCGCGACACAGCUAGUGGGCGUUGAAAUCUACACCAUUUACAAGUGAAGAAAGUUCUCUGAUCUUACCCAAGAUGUGGAGGUCUCAAGUGGGAAGCAGCAACAAACCUCCAGUCACACAGGAUGAGGACGAUGACUGGGAAACUGAUCCAGAUUUUGUUAAUGAUGUGAGUGAGCAGGAGCAGAGAUGGGGGUCCAAGUCAGUAGAAGGAUCAGGAAGGCAAGAGCAAUUCAAUAUCCAUGAGUUGAGAGAGAAUGUGAAGCAAGGUGACGCCGACCAGAAGGAGAAAGAGCUGGCUGCUGCUCCCAAGGCCUCGUAUGGCUACGGAGGAAAGUUUGGUGUUCAACAGGACAGGAUGGACAAGUCUGCCGUGGGGCAUGACCAUCAGGAAUCGCUCAACAAGCACGCAUCUCAGGCAGACUACGCCAAGGGUUUCGGAGGCAAGCACGGCGUGCAGUCUGACCGCCAAGACGCUUCUGCUGUCGGAUUUGACUACGAGGGGAAGACGGAUAAACAUGCUUCACAAAAAGAUUAUUCCUCAGGUUUUGGAGGGAAGUUUGGAGUGCAGAAGCAGAGCAUGGAUAAGAGUGCUGUUGGAUGGGACUACCAAGCAGGUUUAUCACAACACAACUCACAGAAAGAUUAUUCUACCGGUUUCGGUGGCAAGCACGGCGUGCAGACUGACCGCCAAGACGCUUCAGCUGUUGGAUUUGACUAUGAAGGAAAGACAGAGAAACACGCUUCGCAGAAAGAUUAUUCCAGCGGGUUUGGUGGGAAAUACGGCGUGCAGAAAGACAGCCAGGAUUCAUCAGCUGUCGGGUUUGACUACGAAGGCAAGACGGAGAAGCACGCGUCACAGACGGACUCGAGCAAGGGGUUUGGAGGGAAAUACGGCGUUCAGAAGGAUAGCCAGGACUCAUCGGCCGUCGGGUUCGACUACGAAGGCAAGGUAGAGAAGCACGCGUCACAGACGGACUCGAGCAAGGGGUUUGGAGGGAAAUACGGCGUUCAGAAGGAUAGCCAGGACUCAUCGGCCGUCGGGUUCGACUACGAAGGCAAGACGGAAAAGCAUGCAUCACAGACGGACUCGAGUAAGGGAUUUGGAGGGAAGUUUGGCGUUGAUAAGAAUGCGCAGGACGCAACGGCAGGAGGCUUUGGUGACAUGCAGGGUGUUUCAUCGUCCUAUAAGAAGACACGACCUCAACCACCAGCUAAAAGUGGCGCUGGAAACAUGAGGAAUAAGUUUGAACAGAUGGCGCAAGCAGGAGAAGAGGAGAGCAGAAGAAAAGCAGAGGAAGAGAGAGGGAGAAGACAAGCAAGGGAACAGAAGGAAAAAGAAGCGGACAAGAAAAAGGAGGAGGAGAGGCAGAGAGCCUUAGCAGAGCAUCACCGAGCCCUUCCAGAUGAGCCGGAGCCGGAGCAAGAGCCAGAACGGGAACCUGCGCCAGAGCCACAGCGAGCCCGCCUGCCCGAGCCCGCCGCAGCACCGCGUCGCGAACCUCCACCAGCCGCAGCCGAUGACGAAUGGGAGACACAAGCAGACCAAGAAGAACCCCCAGCACUCCCCCCUCCCCGACAGAGCAAGCAGCUUCCAUCGUUACCAGGGCGACAGGCUCAGCCCCUCCCCUCGACGCCGGACGAACCAAACCUGUACGAGGAUACGGGAGACGUGGGUACAAAUUUUGACGAACCGGAGGAUACGUAUGCUGAUGCAGACGCAACGGCAACCUACGAUCAGCCUCCAGAUGACAUGGGUCAACAGACUUAUGAAGAAGUUGAUCGUGCUCCAGUGGCCGAUGAUUCCACCUAUGAGGACUUGCCACCCCAGAAUGAACCUGUUGAAGACACCACCUAUGAAGCGGUACCAGAGGGCCAGGAUGGCCUUCGGGCUAAGGCCCUCUAUGAUUACCAAGCUACUGCUGAAGAUGAAUUGACCUUUGACCCGAAUGAAAUAAUCACACACGUAGAGACGAUUGACGAUGGUUGGUGGAAGGGGGUCUGCAGGGGUAAGGUCGGCCUCUUCCCAGCAAACUACGUGGAAAUGUUGUAGAUUAGAUGAACACCAGGGGGUGUUUCACAAAGACUAAGAUCGAUUUUGAAGUUGGACUUGACUAUGACAGGCCGUUAAUGCCACUAGUUCCUCUAUACCAUACCUGGCAUUGGUUUCUCAAGGGAUGUUUAAAAUCAUGGUCGCAAAUCUACAGAAUUUACAUUUUUUGAUAGUUCAUUAAUGAAUGAAAAAGUAUUAUCUAAUGAUCAUAAUUCAGAAACCAAUGGGGAGUGCAACCAGUGGCAUGACAGGCCUGCCAUAGUUUAGUCCAACUUAAAGUUGAUCUUAGUCUUUGUGAAACACUCCCCAGAGCUACCAUAGAGGGCGCAGCCCCGUCCACAGCAGAUAAAUCGUUCUGCAUUUUAAUAGCCAGGAUCAUAGUGGUUAAUGAAAACGAUAGUCGAUUCUUCUUUUAUAGAGCACAUCACAUUAUAUUGGUACAAAGUCUGUAUGUGCUUCCAUUGACAUUUUUUACCUUGGAUAUCCGUGCACAUUGCACAAAAUGGGAAAGUCUUCUUGUUUAUUCACAAAUGCAUCAUUCCACACAGUUUAGAAGGUGGCAAGUGCUACUAGUCCAAUAGUUAUUUAAGUGACAGACAAGAAGAUUAUGGUGGCUUUAAUAGCUCUUUAUAUACCCUUAUUAGCAAAUUGCUUGUGGGCAGGGUCCUAGAUUGACAAAAAGAUUUUCUCACCGAAUUUAUUGCAAGUGCAUUGAUUUUCUUAGUACCAUCCAUCCAGAUAGAAUCCUACAAGAAAAGUGCAUUGAACUUUCUUAGUCAUGAAUAUACGUAGUCAGCCGUACAUACAUUUAUAUGCUUUGAGAAAAGCUUCAUAUUAAAGUUAAAAUGUUUCUGUGUUUCAAAUCAUGUUUUUAAAUAUAUAAUUGAUUUUCUAGCUUUUCCAUGUGAAAUAGAGCCAUGAUCUUUCAUACCUACAUGUAUACCUGUUCAAGGUUUGCCUUGUUUUUCAGUCAUGGAGCUGCAUAGCUAAUUCAGGAAUAAAUGUCUUUAAAUCUUUAUACCGGUGUACCAUUUAAAUAAUCUCACUGAAUCACUGUGCCACAUUGCAUUUUAUCAUGGGACGUAUAUACCGUAAGAUCGUUUACCUGUUUUUAGUGCAAGAUUAAUCUUUACUGGUGUUAAAAGGGUUGUCAUGGAGCUAACCAAGACCAGGGUCCUGUUGCACAAAACCUACCAUUGAUGGUAACUUUGCCAUCAAUGGUAAUUACCAUGGAAACCUUGAUUUUGAUUGGCUGUUGAGCCAUGUUACCAUGGUAGUUGCCAUUGAUGACAAAGUUACCAUCAAUGGUAAGUUUGAUGUAACGUGCCCAGAUAUGUGUCAUUUUGCCAAGCCAUUGUGUUGCACAAAGCAAUUUUUCUGUUGAUUGGUGCAUAUUGUUUGGUGCAAAAUUGCACAUGUGGCAAACAAGGGACCAUACAGACAGACGAACAAAGCAACCAAAGUUUUAAUACUAAAAAAAUAAUGUUUGACUUGUCUAGAAAGAAGGCAUUUACUGUUUUACUAACUUUUGUCAAGUUACAGUGGAAAUUAGACAGGUUUCCUCGGAAAGGGACAUAACAGAGUAGUAGCUAGGAUGAAUGCAUGGUCUCUGGACCAAAGUUGUUCAUGAGGGAUAUUUUAAAUAACAGUUUUUUGAUCGAGUUUUUCAAAAUGCCUUUAUGAGGACAUUAUCUGACAUAUAUUUCUGUAUGACGAUGUUAUUAAACAAAGAUGAAUUAGAUGCCUAGUUCACAACCGAUAAGCCAGUCUGUAGAUGAGGGCCAGUUUGAAGAUGAGGGUCAUGUAUACCAAAGUUGUAAAAACGAAUACUGGAUACGUGUUCAUGAAGGUUACAUAAUAACUAUUCUAUGGGACACAGGUGGAAGUAUUCUUCCAAACAUAAUCCAUGAAUCACAGCCAUGACUUUGGAGGUGAUUAUUCUAAAAUUCACAAAGUGGAACUACUCCAUGGGCAAAAGAUCUGUGGAUAUUUGGGGUAAUUUGUACCAUGUGCUACUAGGAACUGGUAUAUUGCAUUAUAUGUUACAGUGUGUACAAAUCAAAUAUGCCUAUACCCGAUGAUUAUGUUAUAUAUUAGGCUUGUUUUGUUAUAUGUCCUAUUAUAUCGGUUUGACCUAUAAAUAGCCAGGAAACAAACUUCAUGUAGUGUCAGUAAUUCAAAGGAAAGAGAUAUGCCAAAGAUGAUUUCUCAUAUUCCAAAGCAGCACCAAACAACCUAUGGUAUUAUGAAAUUUCAAGGAUAGCGACGUUAUACCAGGUAGUGUUUCCUGUACAUCUACCAGUAUUUGUAUUUUUAGUAUUAUUUAGAUUUAGAUAAUGCUUUUCUAGUUAAUGUACUACCCCCACGAAAUAUAUAAUCUGAAUUCCAGUACGAUAUGAACACAUGUAUUAAAUACUGAUCUUUCAAAUGAUAAUAUAUAAAUGACUGUGUAAUCAUGUGAUAUAUGUAAAAAAAAAAAAAAAAAUAGGAAUAUAAAUUCUUUGUUAAUUACUGGAAUUUCAAAUAGAAUGUACUUUUAUUAUCAUCCAUCAGAUUAUGAACUCUUACAUUAAAGCAUUCAGCAAAUGAAUAAUUGUAUAUUGAUAGGACUUACCUAUGAUAUGACGAAGACAGAAAAAUAUUCACAAACUCUGCUUAUUAGCAAAUCAUGAACAUGUUAUGUAAAUGUAAUAUAUACUAUUAUGUUAUUGUAGUAAAACUAGUGUAUGUAUAUCAUCAUUUCAUUUGUUACAUGUAUGUGUAGAGCUUCUGAUCACUUACCAUCAUUUGUGAUGUACAAGUAGUCAAUAAUUUGAUAAAAUGGAGUUGGCGAGUAUAAUAUUGUAUCUGUAUCUGCGAGUAACUGUUAUCAUUUUACGUUUGUACACGUCAGAUUAAAAGAGAUGCCUUUUCAUUUUUUGCAUAAAGAGAAAA